GACGUAGGGCGCGAGCGUUGUCCGGAUUUAUUGGGCGUAAAGAGCUCGUAGGCGGCUUGUCGCGUCGACUGUGAAAACCCGCGGCUCAACCGCGGGCCUGCAGCCGAUACGGGCAGGCUAGAGUUCGGUAGGGGAGACUGGAAUUCCUGGUGUAGCGGUGAAAUGCGUAGAUAUCAGGAGGAAUACCGAUGGCGAAGGCAGGUCUCUGGGCUAUAACUGACGCUCAUGCACGAAAGCGUGGGGAGCAAACAGG
rnacentral:rRNA from 1 species